AGCGAACGCUGGCGGCAGGCCUAACACAUGCAAGUCGAACGAACUCUUCGGAGUUAGUGGCGGACGGGUGAGUAACACGUGGGAACGUGCCUUUUGGUUCGGAAUAACUCAGGGAAACUUGUGCUAAUACCGAAUGUGCCCUUCGGGGGAAAGAUUUAUCGCCAUUAGAGCGGCCCGCGUCUGAUUAGCUAGUUGGUGAGGUAACGGCUCACCAAGGCGACGAUCAGUAGCUGGUCUGAGAGGAUGACCAGCCACACUGGGACUGAGACACGGCCCAGACUCCUACGGGAGGCAGCAGUGGGGAAUCUUGCGCAAUGGGCGAAAGCCUGACGCAGCCAUGCCGCGUGAAUGAUGAAGGUCUUAGGAUUGUAAAAAUCUUUCACCGGGGACGAUAAUGACGGUACCCGGAGAAGAAGCCCCGGCUAACUUCGUG
rnacentral:rRNA from 1 species